AGCGCAGGUGGUUGUAUAAGUCUGAAGUAAAAGGCAGUGGCUCAACCAUUGUGUGCUUUGGAAACUGUACAACUUGAGUGCAGAAGGGGAGAGUGGAAUUCCAUGUGUAGCGGUGAAAUGCAUAGAUAUAUGGAGGAACACCGGUGGCGAAAGCGGCUCUCUGGUCUGUAACUGACACUGAGGCUCGAAAGGCGUGGGAGCAAACA
rnacentral:rRNA from 1 species